GGUUAAGCGACUAAGCGUACACGGUGGAUGCCCUGGCAGUCAGAGGCGAUGAAGGACGUGCUAAUCUGCGAAAAGCGCCGGCGAGGUGAUAUGAACCCUUGACCCGGCGAUGUCCGAAUGGGGAAACCCAGUGCAAUCCGUUGCACUAUCGUUAACUGAAUACAUAGGUUAACGAGGCGAACCGGGGGAACUGAAACAUCUAAGUACCCCGAGGAAAAGAAAUCAACCGAGAUUCCCCCAGUAGCGGCGAGCGAACGGGGAGCAGCCCAGAGUCUGAAUCAGCUUGUGUGUUAGUGGAAGCGUCUGGAAAGUCGCACGGUACAGGGUGAAAGUCCCGUACACGAAAGCACACAGGCUGUGAACUCGAAGAGUAGGGCGGGACACGUGGUAUCCUGUCUGAAUAUGGGGGGACCAUCCUCCAAGGCUAAAUACUCCUGACUGACCGAUAGUGAACCAGUACCGUGAGGGAAAGGCGAAAAGAACCCCGGCGAGGGGAGUGAAAAAGAACCUGAAACCGUGUACGUACAAGCAGUGGGAGCACCUUCGUGGUGUGACUGCGUACCUUUUGUAUAAUGGGUCAGCGACUUAUAUUCUGUAGCAAGGUUAACCGUAUAGGGGAGCCGAAGGGAAACCGAGUCUUAACUGGGCGUUAAGUUGCAGGGUAUAGACCCGAAACCCGGUGAUCUAGCCAUGGGCAGGUUGAAGGUUGGGUAACACUAACUGGAGGACCGAACCGACUAAUGUUGAAAAAUUAGCGGAUGACCUGUGGCUGGGGGUGAAAGGCCAAUCAAACCGGGAGAUAGCUGGUUCUCCCCGAAAGCUAUUUAGGUAGCGCCUCGUGAACUCAUCUUCGGGGGUAGAGCACUGUUUCGGCUAGGGGGCCAUCCCGGCUUACCAACCCGAUGCAAACUACGAAUACCGAAGAAUGUUAUCACGGGAGACACACGGCGGGUGCUAACGUCCGUCGUGAAGAGGGAAACAACCCAGACCGCCAGCUAAGGUCCCAAAGUCAUGGUUAAGUGGGAAACGAUGUGGGAAGGCCCAGACAGCCAGGAUGUUGGCUUAGAAGCAGCCAUCAUUUAAAGAAAGCGUAAUAGCUCACUGGUCGAGUCGGCCUGCGCGGAAGAUGUAACGGGGCUAAACCAUGCACCGAAGCUGCGGCAGCGACGCUUAUGCGUUGUUGGGUAGGGGAGCGUUCUGUAAGCCGUUGAAGGUGGCCUGUGAGGGUUGCUGGAGGUAUCAGAAGUGCGAAUGCUGACAUAAGUAACGAUAAAGCGGGUGAAAAGCCCGCUCGCCGGAAGACCAAGGGUUCCUGUCCAACGUUAAUCGGGGCAGGGUGAGUCGACCCCUAAGGCGAGGCCGAAAGGCGUAGUCGAUGGGAAACAGGUUAAUAUUCCUGUACUUGGUGUUACUGCGAAGGGGGGACGGAGAAGGCUAUGUUAGCCGGGCGACGGUUGUCCCGGUUUAAGCAUGUAGGCGGAGGUUCCAGGUAAAUCCGGUACCUUUUAACGCUGAGGUGUGAUGACGAGGCACUACGGUGCUGAAGUAACAAAUGCCCUGCUUCCAGGAAAAGCCUCUAAGCAUCAGGUAACACGAAAUCGUACCCCAAACCGACACAGGUGGUCAGGUAGAGAAUACCAAGGCGCUUGAGAGAACUCGGGUGAAGGAACUAGGCAAAAUGGUGCCGUAACUUCGGGAGAAGGCACGCUGAUAUGUAGGUGAAGCCCCUGCGGGUGGAGCUGAAAUCAGUCGAAGAUACCAGCUGGCUGCAACUGUUUAUUAAAAACACAGCACUGUGCAAACACGAAAGUGGACGUAUACGGUGUGACGCCUGCCCGGUGCCGGAAGGUUAAUUGAUGGGGUUAGCGGUAACGCGAAGCUCUUGAUCGAAGCCCCGGUAAACGGCGGCCGUAACUAUAACGGUCCUAAGGUAGCGAAAUUCCUUGUCGGGUAAGUUCCGACCUGCACGAAUGGCGUAAUGAUGGCCAGGCUGUCUCCACCCGAGACUCAGUGAAAUUGAACUCGCUGUGAAGAUGCAGUGUACCCGCGGCAAGACGGAAAGACCCCGUGAACCUUUACUAUAGCUUGACACUGAACACUGGUCCUUGAUGUGUAGGAUAGGUGGGAGGCUUUGAAGCGUGGACGCCAGUCUGCGUGGAGCCAUCCUUGAAAUACCACCCUUUAAUGGCUGGUGUUCUAACGUAGACCCGUAAUCCGGGUUGCGGACAGUGUCUGGUGGGUAGUUUGACUGGGGCGGUCUCCUCCCAAAGAGUAACGGAGGAGCACGAAGGUUAGCUAAUCCUGGUCGGACAUCAGGAGGUUAGUGCAAUGGCAUAAGCUAGCUUGACUGCGAGAGUGACGGCUCGAGCAGGUGCGAAAGCAGGUCAUAGUGAUCCGGUGGUUCUGAAUGGAAGGGCCAUCGCUCAACGGAUAAAAGGUACUCCGGGGAUAACAGGCUGAUACCGCCCAAGAGUUCAUAUCGACGGCGGUGUUUGGCACCUCGAUGUCGGCUCAUCACAUCCUGGGGCUGAAGUAGGUCCCAAGGGUAUGGCUGUUCGCCAUUUAAAGUGGUACGCGAGCUGGGUUUAGAACGUCGUGAGACAGUUCGGUCCCUAUCUGCCGUGGGCGCUGGAGAAUUGAGGGGGGCUGCUCCUAGUACGAGAGGACCGGAGUGGACGCAUCACUGGUGUUCGGGUUGUCAUGCCAAUGGCACUGCCCGGUAGCUAAAUGUGGAAGAGAUAAGUGCUGAAAGCAUCUAAGCACGAAACUUGCCCCGAGAUGAGUUCUCCCUGAGACUUAAAGUCUCCUGAAGGAACGUUAAAGACGAUGACGUUGAUAGGUCGGGUGUGUAAGCGCAGCGAUGCGUUGAGCUAACCGAUACUAAUGAACCGUGAGGCUUAACCUU
rnacentral:rRNA from 1 species